rnacentral:rRNA from 1 species
AGCGGAGGAAAAGAAACUAACCAGGAUGCCCUUAGUAACGGCGAGCGAACCGGGCAGAGCCCAACUUGAAAAUCUCCAGCCUCCGGCUGGCGAAUUGUAGUCUAGAGAAGUGCUCUCUGCCUCAGUCCGGCCCCAAGUCCCCUGGAAAGGGGCGUCAGAGAGGGUGAGAACCCCGUUGGGACCGGUGCCUGUGGCUCCACGAGACGCUUUCGAAGAGUCGGGUUGUUUGGGAAUGCAGCCCAAAGCAGGUGGUAAAUCCCAUCUAAGGCUAAAUACAGACGGGAGACCGAUAGCGAACAAGUACCGCGAGGGAAAGAUGAAAAGAACUUUGAAAAGAGAGUUAAAAAGUGCUUGAAAUUGUUGAGAGGGAAGCGAUUGGAUCCUACGGGUGCGCCCAGGCACACGCCUGCCUAACGGUUGGCUGAAUGCGCUGGGUGCUGGUCAGCAUGGGUUGGCCGGGCGGGACAAACCCGGGGGUUGUUACCCCGGCUAUGUCGCCUGGCCGACCGAGGAAAGAAGGGCGCUCUCUGAGUCCUCCGGGAACUGCGUCCUCAAGAUGCUGGCGGAAAGGUUCCAAUCGGCCCGUCUUGAAACACGGACCAAGGAGUCUAACAUGCAUGCGAGCUGGUGGGUGGCAAACCCAUGAAGCGCAAGUAACCUGACUGGUGGGAUGGCCUGUGCCUGCACCAUCGACCGACCAUGAUCUUCUGUGAAAGGUUCGAGUACGAGCAUGCCUGUUGGGACCCGAAAGAUGGUGAACUAUGCCUGAGCAGGGCGAAGCCAGAGGAAACUCUGGUGGAGGCUCGUAGAUGUGCUGACGUGCAAAUCGCUUUUCGGACUUGGGUAUAGGGGCGAAAGACUAAUCGAACCUUCUAGUA